rnacentral:sRNA from 1 species
UUUUAUGCCAACUGCGAGGGAAUAAACAGUCUCAUCAGCCCAUCUGCAGCUGUGCCUUUGCCACCUUCUGCCCCCAAGGGGGCCUUUGUACAACUGUCACCCCGCAGGAACCUAUGAAAAGCAUUUUUCAUCCCAGACUUGGCCCCAGGUGGACGCACCUUUUCCCUGAUAUUUCACCUCAUGGAACUCCUCUCCCUCUGGUCCAGGGCAGGACUUUCGCACAGUCCAUUCUGCCACACAAGCACCUUUAUGAAGCCAGAAGGAAAAGCCAGGAUGUGCGUGAUGAGUAGGCGAUUUGUGUGGGUCAGAUUUUCUGCACUGUGGCUGCUGACAAACAUGAUCAUGCCAAGCAGGCCACAAAAGCGGUGAAGAUUGUGUACCAAGACGUGGAGCCUAUAAUUGUGAACAUUCAGAUCUGGCUGCCCAAUCCAUUUUAUUCUGGAACAUGGGGACAACAUGUUGAUAACUGGAGGAUGGCACCCACUACCUGGGACAUAUAAGAAUACUUGCCAGACCCUCGUGGAAUGCCUUGAACCUAUUAUCAGAUGGAGUGCUAGUGGCACCUGGGAGAAGUGUGUUAAUGAAGCUUUUGCUCAAAGCAUUAGUCUCUCUGCCACUGGAUAUUUUAGGACUGACAACAGGUGCUGGCUGCAGCCUGGCCCAGAUGCAGGACAUCUUGGCUGAGAGGGUAGUUGAGCUCCCAGAGGAGAAAACACAGACGUACCGAGCCCUCCUGAAGCACCUGAGGAGU